GUUCAGGCAUGGCGGGCUGCAGGUCCCGAGCCCUGCCCCACGGGAAGGCAGCUAAGGCCCGGGGAGAAAUUGAGCACAGCAGCUGCUGGCCCAGGUGCUAAGCCCCUCACUGCCCGGGCCGGCGGGGUAGCCGGCCGCUCCGAGCGCGGCGUUCGCGGAGGCCACGCCCACCCGGAACUCGCGCUGACCCGCAAGCACCGCGCGCAGCCCUGGUUCCCGCCCGCGCCUUUCCCUCCACACCUCCCCGCAAGCUGAGGGAGCCGGCUCCGGCCUUGGCCAGCCCAGAAAGGGGCUUCCACAAGUGCAGCGGCGGGCUGAAGGGCUCCUCAAGUGCCGCCAAAGUGGGAGCCCAGGCAGACGAGGCGCCGAGAGGGAGCGACGGCCGUGAGGACUGCCAGCACGUUGUCACCUCUCAGUAUGAGUUAAGCCUGGAGAUAUAGGUAACAGGGAUACAGGAUAAUGAAAAAAGGAAAAAAAAUCCUGUCUUCCAGGAGCUUAUGUGAUUGUUCCAGAGGACAUUAAGUGAGCCUCCCUAUUCCCUGAGAAGCAACAAUAUUGAAAUCAGACCAACUAAUAACUCUACAAUGGCUUCUAAGCGCUCAAGGAAGAGUCACAUACCUCUCACUUUAAAUUAAAAACCAGAAAUUAUUAAGCUUAGUGAGGAAGGCAUGUGAAAGGCCAAGACAGGACAAAAGCUAGGCUCCUUGUGCCAAACAGCUAAGUUGUGAAUGCAAACAAAAAGUUCUUAAAGGAAAUUAAAGCUACUACUCUAGUGAACACAGAAAUGAUAAGAGAGCAAAGCAGCCUUAUUGCUGAUAGGGAGAAAGUUUGAGUGGUCUGGAUAGAUGAUCAAACCAGCCACCAUUCUCCCUUAAACCAAAGCCUAAUCUAGAGCAACACCCUAACUCUCUUCAAUUCUAUAAAGGCUGAGAGAGGUGAGGAAGCUGCAGAAAAAAAGUUUGAAGUUAGCAGAGGUUGAUUCCUGAGGUUUAAAGGAAGGAGCCAUCUCUAUAACAUAAAAGUGCAAGAUGAAGCAGCUGAGGGCUGAUGGAAAAGCUGCAGCAAGUUAUCCAGGAGAUCUAGCUAAGAAAAUUGAUGGAGGUGGCUACACUGAACAACAUAUUUUCAAUGUAGAUUAAACAGGCUGUAUGGCAUCUUCUUCCAAACAAGCCUUCCUCAUACUGGAAGAAGAUGCCAUCUAGGACUUUCAUAGCUAGAGAGGAGAAGUCUAUUCAUGGCUGCAAAUAUAACCCUAGGAAUUAUACCAAAUCUACUCUGCCUGUGCUCUAUAAAUAAAACAACAGUCCGAAUGGCAGCACAUCUGUUUACAACACGGUUUACUAAAUAUGUUAAGCCCACUGUCGAGACCUGCUGCUCAGAAAAAAAAAGAUUUCUUUCAAAAUAUCACUGCUCAUUGACAGUGCACCUAGUGACUCAAGAGCUCUGGUGGAAGAACACAAAAAGAUUAAUGUUUUUAUGCCUGUUAACACAACCUCCACUCCAUAGCCCAUGGAUCAAGGAGUAAUUUUGACUUUCAAGUCUUAUUAGUUAAGAAAUAUAUUUAAUAACAUUAUAGCUGCUAUAGUUAAUGAUUUCUCUGAUGAAUAAGAGCAAAAUAAAUUGAAAACUUUCUGGAAAGGAUUCACCAUCUAGAUGCCAUUAAGAACAUUUGUGAUUUACAGGAGGAGGUCAAAAUAUCAGCAUUAACAGGAAUUUGGAAGAUGUUGAUUCCAACCCUCAUGGAUGACUUUGAGGAGUUGAAGACUAUGGUGGAGAAAGUCACUGCUGCUGUGGCAGAAACAGUAAGAUAACCGAAUUAGAUGUGGAGCCUGAAGCUGUGACUAAAUUGCUGCAAUCAUGAGAUAAAACUUAAAUGAAUGAAGAGUUUCUUCUUAUGAUGAGCAAAGAAAGUGGUUUCUUGGGAUGGAAUCAACUCCUGGUGAAGAUGCUGUGAACAUUGCUGAAAUAACAACAAAGGAUUUAGAAUAUUACACAAACUUCACAGAUAAAGCAGUGGCAGUUUGAGAGGACUGACUCCAAUGUUGAAAAAGUUGUACUGUGGGUAAAAUGCUAUCAAAUAGCUUCUCAUGGUACAGAGAAAUCUUUCCUGAAAGGAAAAGUUAAUCGAUGCAUCAAACUUCAUUGUCUUAUUUUAAGAAGUUACCACAGCCACCUUAAACCUUCAGCAACCACUACCCUGAUCAGUCAGCAACCAUCAACACCUAGGAAAGACCCUCCACCAGCAAAAAGACUACAACUCGCUGAAGACUCAGGUGAUCAUUAGCAUUUUUUAGGAGUAACGUAUUUUUUAAUUAAGGUAUAUACAUUGUUUUUUAGGCAUAAUGCUGUUGCACAAAAUAGACUACAGUAUAGCAAAAACAUAACUUUCAUAUGCACUGGGAAGACAAAAAAAUUAUGUGACUUGCUUUAUUGUGGUGGUCCAGAACUGAAUCCACAAUGUCUCUUAGGUAUGCCUGUAUAUGAAGAGCUGACUAGAGAAAAGUUUCUCAGAAACACAAAGCCACAGUAGAAGUGAGACAGCCUAAUUUAAAUAAAUUAAAAGAAAAAGAAAAGAACUCUAAAAGGCACCAUGCCUUUGCUGAAAAAAGCCAUUUGUUUGCUAGUGUGAGUUCUGACAAAGACCAAAUUCUGUCUUAAGUACAUGUUAGGAGCUUGCGUUGAAGUUCUCUAAGGGCAGUUUAACCACACACAGUAAGAGAUUACAUCUUCCAUUCUAAUUUGCAUUCAUUAAAAUACAAUUAUUAAAAUGGUGAGACAGUCAGAUGUUUGGUCUAGAUCUUCACAGUUGCUCAUGAUUUCAUGUUCCUGAAAAUAUAAUCUGCACUUUUCUGAAAAAGGAAAAUGAAAGAGGAUGGGUGACUCUCAGUCAAUCCAUGUGAUUUCUGCAUGAG
rnacentral:lncRNA from 10 species